UACGUAGGCAGCGAGCGUUGUUCGGAGUUACUGGGCGUAAAGGGUGUGUAGGCGGUUUUCUAAGUUUGGUGUGAAAUCUCCCGGCUUAACCGGGAGGGUGCGCCGAAAACUGGGAGACUAGAGUGCGGGAUGGGAGAGUAGAAUUCCUGGUGUAGCGGUGAAAUGCGUAGAUAUCAGGAGGAAUACCGGUGGUGCAUACGGCUCUCUGGACCGCAACUGACGCGGAGACACGAAAGCGUGGGUAGCAAACAGG
rnacentral:rRNA from 1 species